UUUACUUCUAUGGUAUUUCGUUAUUUUCUCUCAUUUUCCUACUUCUAAGUUACAUUCUUCAUCACUCCUCUCUCCCGCCAAACAUACAGACUUUUCUCAUCAACCAAACACUUUUCCUCUCAUCUUUUUUUUUUCAUCCAAAACUACAUUUCAAUUCAUAUUGGUUUAACCCUGACUUAAGGGAGAUCUUUUAAGGCAUGGAUUUUGUAGAUUCAAAGAGGAAGAACAACUUUUCUGUCAGGAUCUUUUUGGCUGCUUUCCUUAUUAGUCUUUCAAUUUUCUGGUUCAAGCAGUCACCAAUUUUUAGUUCUCCCAACUUGUUCUCUAAACCAGAAGCUGGAGUAACACAUGUGCUGGUAACUGGUGGAGCUAGCUAUAUAGGUUCUCAUGCUUCACUAAGGUUGUUAAAGGACUCAUACCGUGUAACCAUAGUGG